UGGGAUGUAGCUCAGUUUGGUAGAGCGCCUGAUUUGGGUUCAGGAAGUCUAGGGUUCAAGUCCCUACAUUCCAA
rnacentral:tRNA from 1 species